rnacentral:rRNA from 1 species
GAUGAACGCUGGCGGCGUGCCUAAUACAUGCAAGUCGAGCGAAUGGAUUAAGAGCUUGCUCUUAUGAAGUUAGCGGCGGACGGGUGAGUAACACGUGGGUAACCUGCCCGUAAGACUGGGAUAACUCCGGGAAACCGGGGCUAAUACCGGACAACAUUUUGAACCGCAUGGUUCGAAAUUGAAAGGCGGCUUCGGCUGUCACUUAUGUAUGGACCCGCGUCGCAUUAGCUAGUUGGGGAGGUAACGGCUCACCAAGGCAACGAUGCGUAGCCGACCUGAGAGGGUGAUCGGCCACACUGGGACUGAGACACGGCCCAGACUCCUACGGGAGGCAGCAGUAGGGAAUCUUCCGCAAUGGACGAAAGUCUGACGGAGCAACGCCGCGUGAGUGAUGAAGGCUUUCGGGUCGUAAAACUCUGUUGUUAGGGAAGAACAAGUGCUAGUUGAAUAAGCUGGCACCUUGACGGUACCUAACCAGAAAGCCACGGCUAACUACGUGCCAGCCGCCGCCGUAA